rnacentral:rRNA from 1 species
UAAGUAGGCAGCGGAAACGACACAAACCUGGAUUCCUCAAUUAGUUGCGAAUGAAAGAGAGAGGAUUUCAGCUUGACAUCCAAGGGCACUACCUUUGACAUGAAGAUUUGAUCGUGUGCCAAAGGGAGGGAGGUGGAGAGUGGAUACUGUCUUGGGAGAGGGGUGUGCAAGUGGCAACGAGGGUAACAAGCCUUUGACGCUUGAUGUGUCUUCCUGCACGGCACCUUCUCUAGACUCAUGCUCUUUGAAAGUGGAGUGCAAAGUGGGUGGUAAAUCUCACUCAAAGCCAGAUACAACACUGGGGCCGACAGCAUACAAGUUCCGUGAGGGAAGUGUGAAAAGGACUUUGGAAAGAGAAUUAGAGGAGCCUGAAUGUGCUGAACAGCAGGCAUACAGGGUGGGGGACUUUGGAGAGAUUUCGCUGCGCGACCAAGCAAGUGGUUACCGUAUGUGCAAAGGUUCUGUGGUGUGCGUUGGCAUGACGUGUGUGUGUCUCUUCUUGGAUGUCAAUCAAAGACAGCUGCAGUCAAUGGCAACUGGUGAUGAAGGGUCACUUUUUGCCAGUGGCUGUCACUGCCCAGAUUGUGCACGUGCCUGGGACACGGUGGGGGGGGUGGUACCAUGGCUGACAUGGUGCUCUAAAAAGGUGGGUGUGGGGCGUGUUUGUUGUGCCUCAACAACCCUGCAAGGUGUGUUUUUGUGUCGUGUACAACUGUGUGCCAAUGAAAGUGGAGUCCCAGACCUGUGCAUGAGUGUUCCACCAAACAGGCGGUUGAGGUUUGAGUCUGAGCAUGGCUGCUACGACCCGAAAGAUGGUGAGCUAUAUCUGGCAAGGGUCAAGGCAGGGGAAACUCUGAUGGAGGCUCGCAGCGUUACUGACGUGCAAAUCGUUCGUCGCACUUGGGUAUAGGGGCGAAAGACUAAUCGAACCUUCUAGUAGCUGGUUCUCUUUGAAGUCUCCCUCAGGAUAGCUGGAGUCAGACAGUUUUAUCAGGUAAAGCGAAUGAUUGGAGGAAAUGGGGGUGUGACACUUUUGACCUAGUCUCAAACUUUUAACGGGUAUGCAGCAGAGGUUGCUUUGUGUGAAUUCGCACUGAAUGUGUUGCUCAUGUGGGCCACUUUUGGUAAGCGGAACUGGCGAUGAGGGGUGAACCUAUUGACUGGUUAAGGCACUGGACUUCUUGCUCAUCAGAGAUCAUAAAGGGUGUUGGCUCAUUCAGACAGCAGGACGGUGGUCAUGGAAGUCGAAACCCGCUCGGGAGUGU